rnacentral:rRNA from 1 species
GGAGUUAGCCGGUGCUUCUUCUGUGAGUGAUGUCCUUCCUGCCGGUUAUUGACCCGCAGGCCUUCUUCCUCACUGAAAGUGCUUUACAACCCGAAGGCCUUCUUCACACACGCGGCAUGGCUGGAUCAGGGUUGCCCCCAUUGUCCAAUAUUCCCCACUGCUGCCUCCCGUAGGAGUCUGGGCCGUGUCUCAGUCCCAGUGUGGCUGAUCAUCCUCUCAGACCAGCUACGGAUCGUCGCCUUGGUGAGCCGUUACCUCACCAACCAGCUAAUCCGACAUAGGCUCAUCCGAUAGCGCGAGGCCCGAAGGUCCCCCGCUUUCCCCCGUAGGGCGUAUGCGGUAUUAGCCUGGGUUUCCCCAGGUUAUCCCCCACUACCGGGCAGAUUCCUAUGCAUUACUCACCCGUCCGCCGCUCGCCACCAGGGAGCAAGCUCCCCGUGCUGCCGCUCGACUUGCAUGUGUUAGGCCUGCCGCCAGCGUUCAAUCUGAACCAUGAUCAAACUCUGA